rnacentral:tmRNA from 1 species
GGGGAUGACAGGCCUCGAGGAAGAGCGAAGCGCCAAGCGCUCAGGCAGAGUUUGCGAAAGCAUCUCUUAAAACUGCUUUCGCGAUCAAUAAGUGCAAACUUAUUUAACAAAGUCGUAAAUGCGUUGAGACCAAUGCAGCUUGCGACUUCCUACGCUUAACAAAGCAUAGGCAUCCGUCUCUGAUUCUCGCUAGGAGGUCGCGGGUGUUAUAAGCGGGACUCCCCCGCCGAGCGGGCGGGAAAAACAAUCUUCGGCUGAAAAGCUGAUAAGCCUGUAAACCGCCGGUUCCGACCUUUUCCGACCCGGGUUCAACUCCCGGCAUCUCCAUUA